GCAUCCGGAGUUUUAUGAGGAUGAGAGCCUCCGGGGGCAGGAGGUUCGACUCGAGCGAAGCGAGAGAACGUUGCGCUAGCAACGGCCCGCAGGGCGAGCCACGCAGUGGUGAGUUAUCCUCUAUCACCGACCA
rfam:Enterobacter cloacae SCF1, complete genome.